UUCUGAUGUUGCACGACGGGAAAUGCUUUGAAUACUUGCGACAUGGCCGCUUGCAUUGAUUGCCAAGAUUGACAGCAUUAACCAUCGUCUUCUGUCGCUUCUGUUUUAGAGUAGAGAGGGAAAACGCGAUAAAUAUACUUCUAACUGCUCUCAGUAGUUUUGACAGUUCAACUUCAUACAGCCAAAGCGGGAUUCCCUCUUCGGUCAGUGGAAGCGAUACACUUCAGUUUUCCCCUUUUUCUCCGCUACUACACAUCAGUGUACAUUAUCUGUAACCUGUUUGAAAACCAAUAACGGGAUACGGCGAAGACGAGCGCUUGUUUGGUAUCCUGCUCACAUCAAGGACGUUCUGCCCGUGGAUUUGGGGAGGAACUUGUGGUUUUGUGCAAGCAAAGAGCAUUUCCUAGCUGGAUCCGGCGAGCAGAUACCGACAGAUCGCAGACGAACGCUUAUGGUGCCAGUCAUUUUCAUGAAUUCAAAAUCAACUCACCAGUGAUUUUUGGGAGCUGGAGAUAGAGAAGUCUUUCUGUUUAUAACCCAAAUGCUGAACAUGGAGGGCUUUCUGCGUAGCAGCUUUUUACUGAGCAGAAUCAUGUCUUCCAAGCAAGCCACCUCUCCAUUCGCCUUGACCCCUGAUGGAGGCGAGGA